UACGUAGGCAGCGAGCGUUGUUCGGAGUUACUGGGCGUAAAGCGCACGUAGGCGGCUUUGUAAGUUAGAGGUGAAAGCCCGGGGCUCAACCCCGGAAUUGCCUUUAAGACUGCAUCGCUUGAAUCCGGGAGAGGUGAGUGGAAUUCCGAGUGUAGAGGUGAAAUUCGUAGAUAUUCGGAAGAACACCAGUGGCGAAGGCGGCUCACUGGACCGGUAUUGACGCUGAGGUGCGAAAGCGUGGGGAGCAAACAGG
rnacentral:rRNA from 1 species